rnacentral:rRNA from 1 species
UACGAGGGGGCAAGCGGUUGUUCGGAAUUAUUGGGCGUAAAGGGUGCGUAGGCGGUUUUGUAAGUCUUGUGUGAAAUCUUCAGGCUCAACUUGAAGACUGCACGAGAAACUGCAGGGCUUGAGUGUGGGAGAGGCGAGUGGAAUUCCUGGUGUAGCGGUGAAAUGCGUAGAUAUCAGGAGGAACACCGAUGGCGAAGGCAGGUCUCUGGGCAUUAACUGACGCUGAGGAGCGAAAGCAUGGGGAGCGAACAGG